rnacentral:SRP_RNA from 1 species
GCUGGGUGUGUGGUGGCACGCACCUGUAGUCCCACCUACUGUGGAGGCUGAGGUGGGAAGAUCACUUGAGCCCAGGUGUUCUGGGCUGCAGGGCGCUGCGACCAUCAGGUAUUUGCACUAAGUUUAACAUCAAUAUACUGAUCUCCCAGGAGCAGGGAACCACCAGGUUGCCUAAGGAGAGGUGAACCAACCCAGAUCAGAAAUGGAGCAGGUCAAAGCUCCAGGGCUGAUUAGUAGUGGGAUGGUGCCUGUGGAAAACCACUGCACUUCAGCCUGGGCAACAUAGUGAGACCCUCUUUUU